AAGAGUUUGAUCCUGGCUCAGAUUGAACGCUGGCGGCAUGCCUUACACAUGCAAGUCGAACGGUAACAGGUCUUCGGAUGCUGACGAGUGGCGGACGGGUGAGUAAUACAUCGGAACGUGCCCGAGAGUGGGGGAUAACGAAGCGAAAGCUUUGCUAAUACCGCAUACGAUCUCAGGAUGAAAGCAGGGGACCGCAAGGCCUUGCGCUCACGGAGCGGCCGAUGGCAGAUUAGGUAGUUGGUGGGAUAAAAGCUUACCAAGCCGACGAUCUGUAGCUGGUCUGAGAGGACGACCAGCCACACUGGGACUGAGACACGGCCCAGACUCCUACGGGAGGCAGCAGUGGGGAAUUUUGGACAAUGGGCGCAAGCCUGAUCCAGCCAUGCCGCGUGCAGGAUGAAGGCCUUCGGGUUGUAAACUGCUUUUGUACGGAACGAAAAGACUCUGGUUAAUACCUGGGGUCCAUGACGGUACCGUAAGAAUAAGCACCGGCUAACUACGUGCCAGCAGCCGCGGUAAUACGUAGGGUGCGAGCGUUAAUCGGAAUUACUGGGCGUAAAGCGUGCGCAGGCGGUUAUAUAAGACAGAUGUGAAAUCCCCGGGCUCAACCUGGGAACUGCAU
rnacentral:rRNA from 1 species